UGGGGAAUUUUGCACAAUGGGCGAAAGCCUGAUGCAGCAAUGCCGCGUGUGCGAUGAAUCCCUUCGGGGUGUAAAGCACUUUAAUUUGUGAGGAUGGUGGGGUUCAUUAAUACUGGAUCCCAUUGACAUUAGCAAAAGAAUAAGCACCGGCUAACUCCGUGCCAGCAGCCGCGGUAAUACGGAGGGUGCAAGCGUUAAUCGGAAUUACUGGGCGUAAAGGGUGCGUAGGCGGUUAAUUAAGUCAGAUGUGAAAUCCAAGGGCUCAACCCUUGAACUGCAUUUGAAACUGAUUGACUAGAAUGAGAUAGAGGGGAGCGGAAUUUCCAGUGUAGCGGUGAAAUGCGUAGAUAUUGGAAGGAACACCAGAGGCGAAGGCGGCUCCCUGGAUCUUUAUUGACGCUGAAGUACGAAAGCAUGGGUAGCAAACAGG
rnacentral:rRNA from 1 species